UAGUAAUAUGAAUUUUUUCUGUGUUGGUGUUGUGUACUCAGGUGAAUAAUAAAUAACACCAACACAGAAAAAAUUCAUAUUACUA